CUCCUACUGGAGGCAGCAGUGAGGAAUAUUGGUCAAUGGGCGAGAGCCUGAACCAGCCAAGUAGCGUGAAGGAUGACUGCCCUAUGGGUUGUAAACUUCUUUUAUAAAGGAAUAAAGUCGGGUAUGGAUACCCGUUUGCAUGUACUUUAUGAAUAAGGAUCGGCUAACUCCGUGCCAGCAGCCGCGGUAAUACGGAGGAUCCGAGCGUUAUCCGGAUUUAUUGGGUUUAAAGGGAGCGUAGAUGGAUAUUUAAGUCAGUUGUGAAAGUUUGCGGCUCAACCGUAAAAUUGCAGUUGAUACUGGAUAUCUUGAGUGCAGUUGAGGCAGGCGGAAUUCGUGGUGUAGCGGUGAAAUGCUUAGAUAUCACGAAGAACUCCGAUUGCGAAGGCAGCCUGCUAAGCUGCAACUGACAUUGAGGCUCGAAAGUGUGGGUAUCAAACAGGAUUAGAUACCCUGGUAGUCCACACGGUAAACGAUGAAUACUCGCUGUUUGCGAUAUACUGCAAGCGGCCAAGCGAAAGCGUUAAGUAUUCCACCUGGGGAGUACGCCGGCAACGGUGAAACUCAAAGGAAUUGACGGGGGCCCGCACAAGCGGAGGAACAUGUGGUUUAAUUCGAUGAUACGCGAGGAACCUUACCCGGGCUUAAAUUGCAGAUGAAUUACGGUGAAAGCCGUAAGCCGCAAGGCAUCUGUGAAGGUGCUGCAUGGUUGUCGUCAGCUCGUGCCGUGAGGUGUCGGCUUAAGUGCCAUAACGAGCGCAACCCUUGUUGUCAGUUACUAACAGGUUUUGCUGAGGACUCUGACAAGACUGCCAUCGUAAGAUGUGAGGAAGGUGGGGAUGACGUCAAAUCAGCACGGCCCUUACGUCCGGGGCUACACACGUGUUACAAUGGGGGGUACAGAGGGCCGCUACCACGCGAGUGGAUGCCAAUCCCCAAAACCUCUCUCAGUUCGGACUGGAGUCUGCAACCCGACUCCACGAAGCUGGAUUCGCUAGUAAUCGCGCAUCAGCCACGGCGCGGUGAAUACGUUCCCGGGCCUUGUACACACCGC
rnacentral:rRNA from 1 species